CUGAAAAAAUAAAGUAUAGGGGACUUAAUGGCCUGAACAUAGGUAGCCAGUAUCAUUUGAGAUGCUCUAGAGUGGGCCUUGCAGGGGUCUGGCAAAUGUGACACAAACCCUACAUGAGACAUGCAUUCUUCUGGGUCAGGAGCUGUGGCUGAGAGGAUACCCCAGAGCCUCUAAAAAGAACUAGAUACCUAUGUUUAAGCAGCUAAAACCCAUCUUUGGUUUUCAGAUGUUUUGACCCAUGAAGGUCAACAGGGCUUUUGUUUCUAAGCCAUUCACGUUCUUUUAAAUGCUAACCAUAGCCUUUAUGUCUGGUUUUGACAAGACACCACUAUUAAUUUACUCAAAAUAGAAAAAAAAUAGGGUAAAAAAAAUUCCUGCAUCUGGAUCCAUUCUCUUAUGACAACCCUACUUCUUGCAUUCUCUAUUUUUUAAUUUUUUUUUUUUCCAGUGGUAGUGAAGCCUGGCUGCCAAAUUAAAGCAUAAAUCUCUUGCAUGGAGCUGUGAGAUGAGCACUGAAGAAUGCAGGUACAUAGAGACUGAACCUAAUAUAGGCAGGUGUGAAGCUCUGAACCGCACACAACAGAACAAAUAUGUUGCCUUCCUCACACUCAUAAAUCAUUUUCAGGCAACAAUUCUGUUUUUUAAUUAAGUGCCUCAGUUGGGGAAUGUCUUGAGGUAGCGAUGCACAGGUUAUUCCAGGAAAGCGUUAGCAUUUCAAAACAGAGGGUGCAAGUUUGUCCAUGUUUUGUUUUCAGUUGUACCUUUUAGCUUGUUCAUACUCAAGAGUAUUUCUACACUGCUGAUUGUAGAGAUGUCUGUGAAGAAGCAGUAGCUCAGCUUCCAGGACUAGGCCAGCUGGAAGUCUUUGGAUUGCCGUGACCAGCUGAGAAACUGUUACUAACAUCUAUGCUUGGUCUAAGUGUAGGCACAAAAGUUGCAGAAAGCCGUACACUUGAUACCUGAGCAGCCCUUGCCAUAAAUUGUUUGCACUGCUGAGCUGUGCAUCAGAGGUGUUCAAGAGUUGACAGAGUAACCAGAGGGAUCAGUAAAUCCUUGUAAGUCCUGACCAACAGACACCAAUUCUCUGAUGUAGGAAGAGAGACUGUUGUAGAAACCGAUGUCUCCAAGCAUGGGUGAACAAGGCAUAAGGAUGCUCAGUCUGGUAGCUAGAUUGUAAUGCAGCAGAUGAAUAUGCAUCAAGAUCUUUGUGAAAAGGAAACUAAAUAGUCUUUCUGUGUUGACUGAAGGUGAUAUAAAUCUAAAAAGGAUCGGAGCUUAAGGUCAGAUUCAGACACUGUAUCCAGAUAUACAAAUACUGAGACCCCACUGGAUAAUGCCCUGUAUGCUACUAAUGGUCUUACUGAAGUAAGUAUGAUGCAUUGAGUGGUAAACUACUACUUCGUGGCAAGGUUAUACAAUCUGGAAGUUAGGAUUCAAGAGGCUUCAUGUUCUAUAUUUAUAGAGUUUCUGAUUAUAACUGUGCACACUUUUGUCUGUGCUAUUUUAGCCAAAAGGCCAUGUGAGUGUGUCAUGGAUCAAAGAGUGUCAGCCCUGCUUCAUUCUGGUGACGAGAAUGAUACUGUUUCAUUUUUAUGUCUGUCUAGACAUGACUCAUAUUCUUGUUAGGAUUCUGAUUUUAUAAAAGUCUUGAGAGAUAUCCUACAUGUUUAUGUAGUCAGCAAGCAGGAAAAAUAGAAGAGUAAAGCCACUGCGCUCAGUAGAGCUUGUAAGCUGAAGUUUAGUAAAAACACUAGUUUACUUUUUAAAUUCAGCUAUGUCCAGGAAUAUACUUAUGAAAGGAAGUGUAAACCGCAACUGUUUCACUGCAGAUGAAAUACUACCUGCAGAGCCAGCUGCAGCCCCGUGGAAGCCAGGAGGGAAUCCGCUUGCCUCAGGUGGAGCCUCAUAGCCAGACACCCAAGAGUUGCUUCACUCUGCUUCUAGCCUGGGACUUUGUUUUGCACAACAGUCUUUUAUCUGUGAAUGCCCUCUGUCUCUGUUCAGCUGUUAAUGGCAUAUUGUCUUGGCCUGAGAAAAUGAGGGACUGAAUGGGUACUGUAGCUUUCAGCUGUUUCCAUCCCUUUGGAGGAGGGGGGAAGUUGUCACUGAAAUCCCAAAGAGGUUGAUGUCUUUGCAGAGACACCUCUGGUCUCCCUCGAACUGCCAGAGGUCAGAGGAGGGCCUGUGCGGCUGUUAGCUGAAGUCUUCUGAUCUGGAGGCAGCAGACAAGGCCCAAAACCACCGGACAAAAGCAGUUCCUGAGGGACGCGCCCUCCCAGAACCGAGACGCCAUACAGAGAACUUCAGGCACUGAAACAGUCAGAAGAGAAGAAGAAGAAAAGAUGCUGAUACGAUUUAACUUCAGUCAUAACUCAGACAACCAAAAUGUAACAGAAAAACAAAGCCACGAAGAAAUGCCAGCAGCUACUGCUAAAAUUCAAACGUAGCUGCCAGUGUAAAAAAGAUGUAACAAGUCCAAAUGUUUAGAAGAAUAAAGGAUGAAAUGAAGCAAAACGA